UUCAUUCUCAUUAGUUGCUUGGGUUUGUUUCUCCUCUCUCCACUUCUGGUCUACAUGUUUUCUCAACAAUGGCGUCCUUCUCGAUCUGUCCACUUGCUGAACAAUCUCUCAUCGGCAAGCGAUAUUUUUGGAUUUUUCGUCUGGCCGAUAGGGUAGGUUAAUGUCAAGGUAGGGUACUUUAGAGGUGUUGCAGAGGUAGGUUUAUCAUGGUGGCAGGAGGAUUGUACCGUAAUUGAAAUAUUGAAAAGGUAAAAGAAAUCUUUUUGGUAUCAUUAUGUAACUAUAACUACUCCAAGAAAAAUUUUAAUGAAGUCUCUAUUGGAAAUUGUUUGGGUUUUUUAUCCCUUGUCUGUCAAUAUAUAUGCAUUUUUUCCCUAAUAUGCACAUUAAGUGCUCUUUAGUAACAUGUCUUUUACUUGGCUUA